UAGGGGAUUCUUAGAAGAACAUGUUCAUCUUAUUCUAAUUGCUCGACGUCUGGUUGCAUGACAAUAUUAUAUUUUACAUGUAGAAGUGUCAAAACGAUAGGCGAAAGAUACCAAAGGGACAUUUAUACUCACAAGUCGAAAAUAAACUAACAACAUAAUUGCUAAAAAGAAAAAAGAAAACAGCAGACACAAAAUAGUUCAUACUUGGAAAAAGGGGGUUAGAUUGUAGUUACGACAAUAGAAACAUACACUUUCUAUUGGAUAGAUGCGUUCAACAUGUUUAUCAACAAAUUUUGAAUUAUUUAGUAAGAGAAUAUUAUCUAUAUAGCGGAAAGUAAAGUAAAAUGAUAUUGCUAACUUUUGUGCUUUCUUUCUUUCUUUCGUAAGCUUCCGUAAGAAUCAACCUCGUGUGAAUAUAGGAACUGAUAGUAAAAAAGAGUGGCACAGUUGAUGCUCAUGUGAUUGCCGUUUGCUUGUUGAAAAAACAUAUUCCCAACGUUAAAUAUGUUGUUAAUAAAGAAAUCAGGCAUCUAUAUAAUAUUUGUUUCAAAGAAUUUAUUGUUUGAGGCAGUGUAAUUUGUUUACAAAGGAACAUUUAUCCCACCCUAAGACAGGAUACUUGUAUCUACGUUGGUCACUCUUUUUAAGAAACAAAGCAGAACCACCAACUCUUUCAAUUUGUCUCUUUGUUUGGAACGGGGA
rnacentral:lncRNA from 1 species